AUGCCCCGUGCUAAACGUUUUCUUGGUUUGUUGUUGCCAAGGGACGGGAGUGGUACCGGCAAUGGAGAUGAUGGCGGCUGGUCGAUGCGGCCGAUGGAUGCAGAGCAGCUUCGGGAGUGCGGGCACCGGAUGGUGGAUUUCAUUGCCGACUACUAUAAAUCCAUCGAGACAUUUUCCGUCCUCAGUCAAGUCCAGCCAGGAUAUCUAAAUGAACUUCUUCCAGAUUCAGCUCCAAAUCGACCUGACACUUUGGAUGCCCUUUUUGAUGUAACUCACUGGCAAAGUCCAAAUUAUUUUGCUUACUAUCCCUCAGAUAGUAGCACUGCUGGAUUCCUGGGGGAGAUGCUUAGUGCUGCCUUUAACAUCGUUGGCUUCAGUUGGAUAACCUCUCCUGCUGCAACCGAGUUAGAGGUUAUAGUCUUAGACUGGUUUGCAAAAAUGCUUAAGCUUCCAAGCCAGUUUCUAUCAUCUGCGGUUGGUGGAGUAAUCCAGGGUAGUGCCAGUGAAGCUGUCCUUGUUGUACUAUUGGCUGCACGAGAUAGAACCUUAGAAAUGCACGGGAAAAAAUCCCUUGAAAAAUUAGUAGUUUAUGCAUCUGAUCAGACACAUUCUGCUCUGCAAAAGGCAUGCCAGAUUGCAGGAAUUUUCCCAGAGAACUUCAGACUUGUGAAGGCUGACUACAGUAAUAGUUACGCCGUUGCACCUGAAGCAGUUAGUGAAGCCAUUUCCGUUGACUUGUCAUCUGGGUUGAUACCAUUCUUCAUCUGUGCAACAGUCGGCACAACAUCUUCAUCGGCCGUGGACCCCUUGCAUAAAUUAGGAAAGAUAGCACAGGCCCAUGACAUGUGGUUCCACAUUGAUGCUGCAUAUGCUGGAAGUGCUUGUGUAUGCGCAGAGUACCGACAUCACCUUGACGGGGUAGAAGAAGCUGAUUCAUUCAAUAUGAAUGCACACAAAUGGUUUCUCACAAACUUCGACUGUUCCUUGUUAUGGGUUAAGGACAAGAGUUAUCUCAUAGAAGCAUUAUCUACAAAUCCAGAGUAUCUUAAGAAUAAGGCUUCCCAAGAAAACUCCGUUGUUGAUUUCAAGGAUUGGCAAAUUCCACUUGGCCGUCGUUUUAGAUCACUCAAGCUAUGGAUGGUAUUGAGGCUUUAUGGCGUGGAAAACCUGCAGAGCUAUAUCAGAAAGCACAUACAGUUGGCUAAACAGUUUGAACAACUUGUAUUAUCUGAUUCAAGAUUUGAGGUAGUAACUCAAAGGAACUUUUCCCUUGUGUGUUUCCGCCUUCUGCCCCCAACUUCGGAGGAUGACAAUGGCCGUAACCUUAACUACAGCCUAAUGGAUACCUGUAACUCAAGUGGAAAGAUCUUCAUAUCACAUACGGUUCUUUCCGGAAAAUUUGUCUUGAGAUUUGCCGUUGGAGCACCACUGACCGAGGAGAAACAUGUGGAUGCUGCUUGGAAGCUUUUGCAAGAUGAGGCCAGCAAGAUCUUAGGAAGUUUGUAG
rnacentral:rRNA from 1 species